CACCACAACGGUGGAGCCUGCGGUUUAAUUGGACUCAACGCCGGGCAGCUCACCGGAUAAGACAGCUGGAUGAUAGCCGGGCUGAAGACUCUGCUUGACUAGCUGAGAGGAGGUGCAUGGCCGUCGUCAGUUCGUACUGUGAAGCAUCCUGUUAAGUCAGGCAACGAGCGAGACCCACGCCAACAGUUGCCAGCAUGUCCUCCGGGAUGAUGGGGACACUGUUGGGACCGCCUCUGCUAAAGAGGAGGAAGGAAUGGGCAACGGUAGGUCAGCAUGCCCCGAAUUAUCCGGGCUACACGCGGGCUACAAUGGUCAGGACAAUGGGUAUCGACACCGAGAGGUGGAGGCAAUCUCCUAAACCUGUCCUUAGUUCGGAUUGUGGGCUGCAACUCGCCCACAUGAAGCUGGAAUCCGUAGUAAUCGCGUUUCAAAAUAGCGCGGUGAAUAUGUCCCUGCUCCUU
rnacentral:rRNA from 1 species